rnacentral:rRNA from 1 species
AUUGAACGCUGGCGGCAUGCCUAACACAUGCAAGUCGAGCGGAUGAAGGGAGCUUGCUCCUGGAUUCAGCGGCGGACGGGUGAGUAAUGCCUAGGAAUCUGCCUUGUAUUUGGGGAUAACGUCCGGAAACGGGCGCUAAUACCGCAUACGUCCUGAGGUAGAAAGUGGGGGAUCUUCGGACCUCACGCUAUCAGAUGAGCCUAGGUCGGAUUAGCUAGUUGGUGGGGUAAAGGCCUACCAAGGCGACGAUCCGUAACUGGUCUGAGAGGAUGAUCAGUCACACUGGAACUGAGACACGGUCCAGACUCCUACGGGAGGCAGCAGUGGGGAAUAUUGGACAAUGGGCGAAAGCCUGAUCCAGCCAUGCCGCGUGUGUGAAGAAGGUCUUCGGAUUGUAAAGCACUUUAAGUUGGGAGGAAGGGCAGUAAGUUAAUACCUUGCUGUUUUGACGUUACCAACAGAAUAAGCACCGGCUAACUUCGUG